GACGAACGCUGGCGGCGUGCCUAAUACAUGCAAGUCGAGCGCAGGAAGCUCACGGAACUCUUCGGAGGGAAGUGAAGGGAGUGAGCGGCGGACGGGUGAGUAACACGUAAGGAACCUGCCCCAAGGAUUGGGAUAACUCCGAGAAAUCGGAGCUAAUACCGAAUGGUUCUUCAGACCGCAUGGUCUGAUGAUGAAAGGCGCUCCGGCGUCCCCUUGGGAUGGCCUUGCGGUGCAUUAGCUAGUUGGUGGGGUAAUGGCCCACCAAGGCGACGAUGCAUAGCCGACCUGAGAGGGUGAUCGGCCACACUGGGACUGAGACACGGCCCAGACUCCUACGGGAGGCAGCAGUAGGGAAUCUUCCACAAUGGACGAAAGUCUGAUGGAGCAACGCCGCGUGAGUGAUGAAGGUUUUCGGAUCGUAAAACUCUGUUGUAAGGGAAGAACAGGUAUGAGAGGUAAUGCUCAUGCUAUGACGGUACCUUACGAGAAAGCCACGGCUAACUACGUGCCAGCCGCCGCCGUAACAC
rnacentral:rRNA from 1 species